GACGAACGCUGGCGGCGUGCCUAAUACAUGCAAGUCGAACGGUUUAGUUCCAAGAGGCUUGCCUUUUGGAACUAGACAGUGGCGGACGGGUGAGUAACACGUAGGCAACCUACCUGUCAAACCGGGAUAACCUCGGGAAACCGAAGCUAAACCCGGAUAAGCUCCUUUUUCGCAUGAAGGGGGAGUGAAAAGGUGCGACCUGAUGACAGAUGGGCCUGCGGCGCAUUAGCUAGUAGGUAGGGUAACGGCCUACCUAGGCGAUGAUGCGUAGCCGACCUGAGAGGGCGUACGGCCACACUGGGACUGAGAUACGGCCCAGACUCCUACGGGAGGCAGCAGUAGGGAAUCUUCGGCAAUGGGCGAAAGCCUGACCGAGCAGCGCCGCGUGAGUGAGGAAGGCCUUCGGGUUGUAAAACUCUGUUGUUUGGGAAGAAGGGAAAGGGUAGGACCCUUAGGUGACGGUACCAAACGAGAAAGCCCCGGCUAACUACGUG
rnacentral:rRNA from 1 species